rnacentral:rRNA from 1 species
CAGAUGGGAUUAGCUAGUUGGUGAGGUAACGGCUCACCAAGGCGACGAUCCCUAGCUGGUCUGAGAGGAUGACCAGCCACACUGGAACUGAGACACGGUCCAGACUCCUACGGGAGGCAGCAGUGGG